rnacentral:tRNA from 1 species
CCCGGAUAGCUCAGUUGGUAGAGCAAGUGACUGUUAAUCACUGGGUCGCAGGUUCGAGUCCUGCUCGAGGAGCCA